rnacentral:rRNA from 1 species
GCGGUAUCCUAACCGUGCAAAGGUAGCAUAAUCACUUGUCCCCUAAAUAGGGACCCGUAUGAACGGCUAAAUGAGAACACGCCUGUCUCCCACGACUAAUCAAUGAAACUGAUCCCCCAGUACAAAAGCUGGAAUAAACCCACAAGACGAGAAGACCCCGUGGAGCUUAAAACACACUGCUAACCAAACCCCCACACAUCAAAAGACCUACCAAUAAGCAAGCCCAUAGCAAGAGUUUUCAGUUGGGGCGACUGCGGAGAAAAACAGAACCUCCAUGAACCACGGCUAACCCCGCCCCCAGGCCGACAGGCCAACGGACACAUAAACUGACCCAGCAUAACACUGACCACCGAACCAAGUUACCCCGGGGAUAACAGCGCCAUCCUCUUCAAGAGCCCAUAUCGCCAAGAGGGUUUACGACCUCGAUGUUGGAUCAGGACACCCCAGUGGUGCAGCCGCUACUAAAGGUGCGUUUGUUCAACGCUUAAAGUCCUACGUGAUCU